rnacentral:rRNA from 1 species
AUGUGGUUUAAUUCGAUGAUACGCGAGGAACCUUACCUGGGCUCAAAUGUAUGUUGACGUAUUCUGAAAGGGAUACUUCUUCGGACAAUAUACAAGGUGCUGCAUGGUUGUCGUCAGCUCGUGCCGUGAGGUGUCGGGUUAAGUCCCAUAACGAGCGCAACCCCUAUCAUUAGUUGCCAUCAGGUCAAGCUGGGGACUCUAAUGAAACUGCCUACGCAAGUAGUGAGGAAGGUGGGGAUGACGUCAAAUCAGCACGGCCCUUACGUCCAGGGCUACACACGUGCUACAAUGGCCGGUACAAAGGGCAGCUACCUGGUGACAGGAUGCUAAUCUCAAAAGCCGGUCUCAGUUCGGAUCGGAGUCUGCAACCCGACUCCGUGAAGCUGGAAUCGCUAGUAAUCGUGGAUCAGCCAAGCCGCGGUGAAUACGUUCCCGGGCCUU